rnacentral:tRNA from 1 species
UCCCUGGUGGUCCAGUGGUCAGGAUGUUGCACUUUAACUGCCGAGGGUACAAGUUCAAUUCUUGGUCAGAGAA